GAGCACGUAGGUGGGUUUGUAAGUCAGAUGUGAAAGCCUUCUGUUCAACGGAAGAGUUGCAUCUGAAACUGCGAGUCUUGAGUGUAGGAGGGGAGAAUGGAACUUCUGGUGGAGCGGUGAAAUGCGUAGAUAUCAGAAGGAACGCCGGCGGCGAAAGCGAUUCUCUGGCCUAUUACUGACACUCAGUGUGCGAAAGCUAGGGGAGCAAACGGGAUUAGAUACCCCGGUAGUCCUAGCUGUAAACGAUGGGCACUAAGUAGAGGGGUUUU
rnacentral:rRNA from 1 species